GGAAAGUCCCUAGCUCAGUGGCAGAAUACCUGCCUGGCAUGCAGAAGGUCCCUGGUUCAAGCUCCACCGGCAUCUCCA